rnacentral:rRNA from 1 species
GAAAAGAAACCAACAGGGAUUGCCCUAGUAACGGCGAGUGAAGCGGCAACAGCUCAAAUUUGAAAUCUGGCCCUCGGGUCCGAGUUGUAAUUUGUAGAGGAUGCUUUUGGUGCGGUGCCUUCCGAGUUCCCUGGAACGGGACGCCAUAGAGGGUGAGAGCCCCGUCUGGUUGGAUACCAAUCCUCUGUAAAGCUCCUUCGACGAGUCGAGUAGUUUGGGAAUGCUGCUCUAAAUGGGAGGUAUAUGUCUUCUAAAGCUAAAUACCGGCCAGAGACCGAUAGCGCACAAGUAGAGUGAUCGAAAGAUGAAAAGCACUUUGAAAAGAGGGUUAAACAGUACGUGAAAUUGUUGAAAGGGAAGCGCUUGUGACCAGACUUGGGCCCGGUUAAUCAUCCAGUGUUCUCACUGGUGCACUUGGCCGGCCCAGGCCAGCAUCAGUUCGGCGCGGGGGAUAAAGGCUUCGGGAAUGUGGCUCCUCCGGGAGUGUUAUAGCCCGUUGUGUAAUACCCUGCGCUGGACUGAGGUUCGCGCAUCUGCAAGGAUGCUGGCGUAAUGGUCAUC